UCCUACGGGGGGCAGCAGUGGGGGAUAUUGCACAAUGGGGGGAACCCUGAUGCAGCGACGCCGCGUGGGUGAAGAAGCGCCUCGGCGCGUAAAGCCCUGUCAGCAGGGAAGAAAAUGACGGUACCUGAAGAAGAAGCCCCGGCUAACUACGUGCCAGCAGCCGCGGUAAUACGUAGGGGGCAAGCGUUAUCCGGAUUUACUGGGUGUAAAGGGAGCGUAGACGGCGAAGAAAGUCUGAAGUGAAAGCCCGCGGCUCAACCGCGGAACUGCUUUGGAAACUUUUUUGCUGAAGUACCGGAGAGGUA
rnacentral:rRNA from 1 species